rnacentral:rRNA from 1 species
GGCGAGUGAAGCGGUAACAGCUCAAAUUUGAAAUCUGGGUCUUUCAGGCUCCGAGUUGUAAUUUGUAGAAGAUGCUUUGGGUGCGGUCCCGGUCUAAGUUCCUUGGAACAGGACGUCAUAGAGGGUGAGAAUCCCGUAUGUGAUCGGUGGCUUGCGCCCGUGUAAAGCUCUUUCGACGAGUCGGGUUGUUUGGGAAUGCAGCUCUAAAUGGGUGGUAAAUUUCAUCUAAAGCUAAAUAUUGGCCAGAGACCGAUAGCGCACAAGUAGAGUGAUCGAAAGAUGAAAAGCACUUUGGAAAGAGAGUUAAACAGUACGUGAAAUUGUUGAAAGGGAAGCGCUUGCAACCAGACUUGCGCGGGGUUGAUCAUCCGGGGUUCUCCCCGGUGCACUCGGCCUCGCUCAGGCCAGCAUCGGUUUCGGUGGUUGGAUAAAGGCCUUGGGAAUGUGACUUCUUUCGGGGAGUGUUAUAGCCCUCGGUGCAAUGCAGCCUACCGGGACCGAGGACCGCGCUUCGGCUAGGAUGCUGGCGUAAUGGUUGUAAGCGACCCGUCUUGAAACACGGACCAAGGAGUCUAACAUCUAUGCGAGUGUUUGGGCGUCAAACCCAUACGCGUAAUGAAAGUGAACGGAGGUGAGAACCCUUAAGGGUGCAUCAUCGACCGAUCCUGAUGUCUUCGGAUGGAUUUGAGUAAGAGCAUAGCUGUUGGGACCCGAAAGAUGGUGAACUAUGCCUGAAUAGGGUGAAGCCAGAGGAAACUCUGGUGGAGGCUCGCAGCGGUUCUGACGUGCAAAUCGAUCGUCA